AACCCCCGCAAUGUGAGAAAUCGCGACGGGGGGAUCCCAAGUGCCAUUCUUAACGGGAUGGCUUUUCAUUAGUGUAAAGAGCUUUUGGAAUAAGAGCUGGGCAAGACCGGUGCCAGCCGCCGCGGUAACACCGGCAGCUCUAGUGGUAACAAUUUUUAUUGGGCCUAAAGCGUCCGUAGCCGGUUUAAUAAGUCUCUGGUGAAAUCCUGUAGCUUAACUGUGGGAAUUGCUGGAGAUACCAUUAGACUUGAGACCGGGAGAGGUUAGAGGUACUCCCAGGGUAGAGGUGAAAUUCUGUAAUCCUGGGAGGACCGCCUGUUGCGAAGGCGUCUAACUGGAACGGUUCUGACGGUGAGGGACGAAAGUUAGGGGCGCGAACCGGAUUAGAUACCCGGGUAGUCCUAACUGUAAACGAUGCGGACUUGGUGUUGGGGUGGCUUUGAGCUGCUCCAGUGCCGAAGGGAAGCUGUUAAGUCCGCCGCCUGGGAAGUACGGUCGCAAGACUGAAACUUAAAGGAAUU
rnacentral:rRNA from 1 species